rnacentral:rRNA from 2 species
GAUCGUAAAACUCUGUUGUCAGGGAAGAACAAGUACCGGAGUAACUGCCGGUACCUUGACGGUACCUGACCAGAAAGCCACGGCUAACUACGUGCCAGCAGCCGCGGUAAUACGUAGGUGGCAAGCGUUGUCCGGAAUUAUUGGGCGUAAAGCGCGCGCAGGCGGUUCCUUAAGUCUGAUGUGAAAGCCCCCGGCUCAACCGGGGAGGGUCAUUGGAAACUGGGGAACUUGAGUGCAGAAGAGAAGAGUGGAAUUCCACGUGUAGCGGUGAAAUGCGUAGAGAUGUGGAGGAACACCAGUGGCGAAGGCGACUCUUUGGUCUGUAACUGACGCUGAGGCGCGAAAGCGUGGGGAGCAAACAGGAUUAGAUACCCUGGUAGUCCACGCCGUAAACGAUGAGUGCUAAGUGUUAGAGGGUUUCCG